rnacentral:rRNA from 1 species
GUUGAUAAGGUUAAGUGAAUAAGGGCGCACGGUGGAUGCCUUGGCACUAGGAGCCGAUGAAGGACGGGACUAACACCGAUAUGCUUUGGGGAGCUGUACGUAAGCUAUGAUCCAGAGAUUUCCGAAUGGGGGAACCCAGCAUCUUUAAUAGGAUGUUACGAUUGUGUGAAUACAUAGCACAUUCGAGGUAGACGCAGAGAACUGAAACAUCUAAGUACCUGCAGGAAGAGAAAGAAAAUUCGAUUCCCUGAGUAGCGGCGAGCGAAACGGGAAAAGCCCAAACCAACAAGCUUGCUUGUUGGGGUUGUAGGACUCCAAUAUGGUAGUUCUUUCAGAUAGUCGAAUGACUUGGAAAAGUCAGUCAAAGAGGGUAAAAACCCCGUAGAUGAAAUUUGGAAGGCACCUAGGAGGAUCCUGAGUACGGCGGAACACGAGGAAUUCCGUCGGAAUCCGGGAGGACCAUCUCCCAAGGCUAAAUACUCCCUAGUGACCGAUAGUGAACCAGUACCGUGAGGGAAAGGUGAAAAGCACCCCGGAAGGGGAGUGAAAUAGAACCUGAAACCGUGUACGUACAAGCAGUGGGAGCCUCUUAAUGGGGUGACUGCGUACCUUUUGUAUAAUGGGUCAGCGACUUAUAUUCUGUAGCAAGGUUAACCGAAUAGGGGAGCCGAAGGGAAACCGAGUCUUAACUGGGCGUUAAGUUGCAGGGUAUAGACCCGAAACCCGGUGAUCUAGCCAUGGGCAGGUUGAAGGUUGGGUAACACUAACUGGAGGACCGAACCGACUAAUGUUGAAAAAUUAGCGGAUGACUUGUGGCUGGGGGUGAAAGGCCAAUCAAACCGGGAGAUAGCUGGUUCUCCCCGAAAGCUAUUUAGGUAGCGCCUCGUGAAUUCAUCUCCGGGGGUAGAGCACUGUUUCGGCAAGGGGGUCAUCCCGACUUACCAACCCGAUGCAAACUGCGAAUACCGGAGAAUGUUAUCACGGGAGACACACGGCGGGUGCUAACGUCCGUCGUGAAGAGGGAAACAACCCAGACCGCCAGCUAAGGUCCCAAAG